GACGAACGCUGGCGGCGUGCUUAACACAUGCAAGUCGAACGAUGAACCCGGAGCUUGCUCCGGCGGAUUAGUGGCGAACGGGUGAGUAACACGUGAGUAACCUGCCCUUGACUCUGGGAUAACUGCUAGAAAUGGUAGCUAAUACCGGAUACGACCCUCGGUGGCAUCACCAGGGGGUGGAAAGAAUUUCGGUCAGGGAUGGACUCGCGGCCUAUCAGCUAGUUGGUGAGGUAACGGCUCACCAAGGCGACGACGGGUAGCCGGCCUGAGAGGGUGACCGGCCACACUGGGACUGAGACACGGCCCAGACUCCUACGGGAGGCAGCAGUGGGGAAUAUUGCACAAUGGGCGCAAGCCUGAUGCAGCAACGCCGCGUGAGGGAUGACGGCCUUCGGGUUGUAAACCUCUUUUAGUAGGGAAGAAGCGAAAGUGACGGUACCUGCAGAGAAAGCACCGGCUAACUACGUGCCAGCAGCCGCCGUAA
rnacentral:rRNA from 1 species